rnacentral:SRP_RNA from 1 species
ACUAAUAGACGAGGCAAUAGUAAGCUAAUGAAGUGGGUCAGGUGCGGAAGCAAGCAGCCCUAAGUCAGCGUGCUAUGUGCCUUUUUUGUUUUGUUUUU